rnacentral:rRNA from 1 species
AGGGCUUGACAUAUAUAGGAUAUAGUUAGAGAUAAUUAUUCCCCGUUUGGGGUCUAUAUACAGGUGCUGCAUGGUUGUCGUCAGCUCGUGCUGUGAGGUGUUGGGUUAAGUCCCGCAACGAGCGCAACCCUUGUUAUCUGUUACCAGCAUGUAAUGAUGGGGACUCAGAUAAGACUGCCGGUGAUAAGUCGGAGGAAGGUGAGGAUGACGUCAAAUCAUCAUGGCCCUUAUGUCCUGGGCUACACACGUGCUACAAUGGCCUGUACAAAGCGAAGCGAAACAGUGAUGUGAAGCAAAACGCACAAAGCAGGUCUCAGUCCGGAUUGAAGUCUGAAACUCGACUUCAUGAAGUUGGAAUCGCUAGUAAUCGUAUAUCAGAAUGAUACGGUGAAUACGUUCUCGGGCC